GCGGCGGGCCGUGACUGGCGCGCUGGGAUGGGACGGACCAUCGGGGAGCGGCUCUGAGCAGCAACAGUGCCGUGCGCCUGGGCCGAACCG
rnacentral:ncRNA from 1 species